UUAUGGUGAAAUGGAUUCAGCUAUCCAUUUUGCAUCACUGAAGCAACUGACUCUCAGGAAUAUGCCCUGUCUAUUGGAAUGGUCAGUUAAUGAAGAUCAGGGUAUUCUUGCUCGUCUAAAGAAAUUUACGUGAAGCAUGUCCCUAUUUGAAUAACUGGCCAGAUCUUCCCUCCCUCGACUCAUUAGAAUUGUUUGUUUGUAGCAGUGAAUUACUAGUACUGACAACAGCCAAGGUUACCUCCCUUACUCAUCUAAUGAUCAGUGGAUUUUUGGAACUUCACUUACCUGAAGGGUUGCUGAAAAACAAUACAAGUCUGCUGUCUGUAGAAAUUAGAGAUUGUCCAGAGAUUUAAAGUCUUUUGAGUGAGCUGAUAGUUCUUCCUUGUCUCGAGUCAUUAAGCAUCAGUAAAGAAUCUCAGUUCCGUGAUCGACUCCUCUGGACUUGGGACUUUGAAGUCCUUGUCCAUUAUGGUUGCCAUAACAUUAUCCUGGAAAAAGGAAUACAAAGUUUACAGUUUCUUCAAUAUGCAUCACUCUCUGAUUGUAGAAACUUGACAACCUUGCCGAUGACUAUGCAACACCUUACAUUUCUCCGAACUCUGCAUAUAUGGAGCUGUUCUGAGAUGUAUAUGCUUCCAGAAUGGCUAGGAGACCUCGUUUCCCUUAGAGAACUGGAGCUGUGGUACUGUGAAAAUCUAAGUUCUUUACCAGAAUCAGUGAAAAAGCUAACCAAGCUUCAGUUUCUGUCUAUAUGGGGCUGUCCAAACUUGGGAUUAAGAUGCAAAAAGGAUGUCGGAGAAGAUUGGCACAACAUUAAACAUAUUCCGUUCAUCAAGAUUAAUGACCCAUAUAUCCAGGCUAUGACAGGUAACUAAUGCAUUUUAGAUCAAUUACUUUUUCUGGUUACACUGAAACUAUCAGAAUAUUAUAUGUUUCUUCUCAUUUUGUUCAACAUGAGUUGAGGUUCACAGAGAUAAAGAGAAGGAUAUUGAAUAUGAUUGACUUCAUAGAACCGUCUGAAUUUCAUAUUGAACCAACAGUCUGCAACCCUCUUUAUUGAUCAGGGUUUAGGACCAUCUAUACUUUGUGAGCAUAGGUAGAGUAAUUGUUGUUAAACUUGCAUUAGUUAUUUUGUUUCCAGGGGAUUUUUAUGUUUCGUUAAAGAUUUAUAUGUUAGUAUAGAAUAAGUGUGGGAGUUAAAGAACCUCUAGUUUGUUUUCUUCUUUUUCUAAGAACCUCUAGAUUGAAGCAAACCUUGUUUUUCUUUUGUUUUCUGGAUAAAGUUGAGAAAGUCCUUAAAUUCCCUAAAAACAAAUUAUUGAGUAUUGAAAUGAACUACGUCCAAAUAGAGUGGAAUGGAUAUAAAGGAUUCAUACAGCCAACACCGACUAGUUUGGGUUGAGCUAGUAGAUUAAGCUUUAUUUGAGUUUGUCAAUUUUUCGUAAGCAAAUCCACUAGGUGAGGUGCCUAGGUUAGUUUUUAUUUAUUUAUAUAACAAAAGUGAAACUCAAAGGAAAAAGUACAAGCAAGGGGAUAUGCCUUACCUUAAUAAUCUAAUCGAGGCUUUAAAAAACCUCUACUAAUUAACAUGCGUGUGAAAAAAUAAUAAUAAGGAAGAACUAAAUAUCCUAUGAUCAUCACAAAGUUCAUAACUCACUCUACAGUGAUAGAAAAUUAAAAUUAGUAGAAUGUAGAGUCAGACCCUUGUUUCCUUGAAAUUCUGAAAUCUUCAAGAAGAUGUGGCCCUAUAAAAAUUUGAUUAUUCACCUUGUCGUUUUCCUCCAACCACUCCAGAAUACUUUAAGACUUCAUCAAUUUUCUUGCAUCUAUUGGAUCUUGUUGAUGUAGUUGAAGUCUCCUGUUUUGCCACUCUCAUUUAUAGUUGCCUUAGAACAGUCUCCUCAGACACUUUACCAUCCAAUUAUGCUUAGGUGAAAGAUCUCCAUUCCUAGCCACAUUAGCAAAGCAUUCAUCCAAAUAUCUUCAUUCUCAUCUUCUUCACCAAAUAUAUCUAAAGUCCAAAUGACAACCACAAGCUUCCAGGGGAUCUUCCAUAGAAGUUCCUGGCUCAUACUUCUUGGCCACUAUUACAAUAGGCUUCCUUUUAGUAGGAUUGCCCAUAGCCUUCAAAGGUUCCAUAUGGUAUGACACUAAAGCAUGAAGAAAUUGAGUUGGUUAAUUUGGUUUCUCAGUUAAAAGGUUCGUACAGACUCAUAUUAAACAGAUCAAGGUUCCUCGUUAAUACCAUAAGGCUAUCAUCUAUUUGUGUAGUUUAUGCAUUUACUGUGAAUAUUGUAGGAGUAACCCUUACCAUCGGGAUUUUGGUAAUAUUCCUUUUCCAAUCCAACCACGAUUGCAGUAACUUUUACUACUAUCUAGUCAUACUAUAUUCCCCAUUAGCAUCUCAUUUAUGAUAAUCCAGGUGUAUCAUAAGCCCAAAUCGAAUGGCACCUCGUGUUUUUUCAAGAAUUUCUACUAAUUAAAAGAUUUUGGAGCUAAAAUUGCUGUUAAGUAGUCAUUAUGUGCUUUAGCAAUUGCGCCUCAUUCAUCUGACUCCUUCCAUUUUCUAUAUGCUCAACAUUGGUUUUUGUUCUGGAAGUCAAUCCUAGAGACUUGUUACUUACGGCAGUCAAUCCUGGCGCAAGUUGAUGAGAAUACUCUAUCCUUACCACUUCAUGAUGCUGGAUCGCUAGUACUCUAAAAUCUUUUAAACCCGUCAAUUCUAUUACACUUGAAUCCCAAUCAUUUUCUCUUACGAAAGAGUAUUAGGAGGGGGUUGAAACAAUGGCCUGAAGCUUAAACAAUACCUUAAGCUCCUAUGUGAAACCAUUAAACAAUACAGACCUACAACCAGGCAUCAUUACCCCGAUGCCUGGUUGAUAAAAUCAAACAGAAAUUAAUCAAUCCAAUCCAAUGUAGCUUUACAGAAAAAUAUUUAGAUUGUUGAUAAUACUCUCAUAGUCAAAGAAUCCAUAAACUACCUUAAGAGAACAAAAAGGAAAAAAAGCUAAUAUGAAUAUCAAGAUUCAUCUUGAGAAGACUUUUGAUAGGAUUAAAUGGUCCUUAAUGUUUUGCACCCUUUCUUAUUUAGAUUUCUCUUAGGAUUUCAUUGAUAUUAUCAAGGCUUAUUACCUUCUCUUCAACUUUUGUUUUCAUUAAAUCAUACUCCCACCAAUUUCUUUAAACCAACGAGAGUCGAGAGAUUCCUG
rnacentral:lncRNA from 1 species